rnacentral:tRNA from 1 species
CAAAAAGUAGCUUAAAAUAAAGCAUUCGACUUACAAUCGAAUCAUAUUAGAUCCCACUAAUCUUUUUGA